rnacentral:sRNA from 1 species
CCCUAGCCCCGAUAGAAACGGUUACCCCACAGUAUGGGUUGGAGCGUAGAAGGGUUUGGGUGUAGGAGUGUGUGGCGCGAGGAGUAUGAGUGGAUAGCGGGAGAUAGC